CCACCAUCAAAUCUACACAGAGAUUCUCCCAGAAAGAUUUGAAAUGUCAGAAGAGGCUCCAAAAUGCCUUCGUUUAAGACCUGGUACAUUAUAGACGCUUCAGCUCUCGGAAGACGAAGGGCAGGCAGGUUCAAGUUAUACUGAUGGUUGUGCACAGCCAUCAGCUGCAAUCGAAUAUUGGAAGAGUCAGCACAGCGAUGGAGCGCGACCCCCUCUGAUGCGUGUUCCGCAGCUUGUUUAACGCUGAUCCAACGCUCCAUCUCGGUCAACAUGCUCCACACAAUAUUUCUGCACCUGUCUCAAGCUGCAGCCGCUGGGCAGGUUCAAAUUAUCCGAUCAUUUCAGAUUUCUAGCAAUUGCAAUUCUUCCUUUGCUCACACUUAUCCUAGGAUGCUAGCGGCAAUAAAUACAUGCUCAAAGUUUGCUCCCAAGUUGUGUCUUUAGCCUGUCAAUUAGACAACUGACUCGUCAUCUGAUUGAUAUCUGUCACAGCUUUAAAUAUUAGCCUGAGCAAUAUUCAGUUAUUAUUCCUGGGACUGAUCAUUUCUCUUUGUAACUCAACAUUCUGUUCACUGCAAGGAAUAAGAAUAAAGCUACCAAUUUGAAUCUUAAA